AAUCAUCCACCCUGACUUUUGGUUAAUUCCUUAGGUCUUGGCUGGGACUUGGGCGCUUGCCUCUGAUAAAGCGGCUCGCCUUAAAUUGAUUUCGGAUUGACUCUGUCUGCAGUCGGUUUGACUUGGCGUUAUAAGUUAUUUCGCUAAGGACAUCUUCGGAUGGCCGAUCAAUGAUAGCUGUCUUGUGCUGCGUGUGUUACACACUUCCAGUGCGCUCCAUCUUUUGAC
rnacentral:misc_RNA from 1 species